GACAGCCUGCUGUCCAGGGGUCUCUUGGCACCAUUCCAGAUCCUGACAGUCCUCAGUCCCCAUCCUCACAGAAUCUUAGUGUAGUGGGGAUAACUAGAACCUGGCAGUUUCAAUGCUGUAAAGCCAUGCGGGGACAGGUGUGUUUCCUCUCUUUACCCAGACAACCAAGCUAGCCAUAUCCAGGCUGAGUCUCCAGAGUUGUUCCUCGAUGGUCUGAGGAAUAGGGUUGAUGUCUGUGACUGGAAACAAUUGAGAGUGCAAACUGGUUCUUUGAUAGUGUGAAUAAGGACUUUCUGUGUGCUGUCCUGGAGUUUGGUAUGGCUAAAUCCUUUCUGCUCUGCCUUGCAAACAGAUAACUAGUGAAGGCCUUUGUUUUCCUUCUGCCAGGGGAAAAUGUUUAGCUUCUUUGAAAGAAACCUGUUCCUGAUGGACUAGGACAGAGAGAGUGUGGACCCAUUAAUACACUGGAGGCAUGUGUUCACUGUAUGCUGUUGUUUUGUGUACUGUACAGUGCUGCCUGUGCAGUAAGAUUUGCUAUCCUGUCAUGCCAAGAGCAUCCCUGGAUGAUUAGAAGGCUGCGGGUGUGGAUCCCAAUAAGUAGCAGCAGGAGAGAGCUGAGUUGCAGAUUGCUAGUUUAUGUCUUGACUUCAGGAAAGCUCUGAAUUGUGGAGACGUGAUUGUCAGGAAGUCUAUCAAAAGAGACGUCUGAAAGAAUUGCACCCUUUCUCUACAUCACCAGAAUGGUUUCUGAAGUGGUAGGAUGUCCAAAACCAAAGAGCCUAAGAGGCACGUUUCUCUGGAUGGUGAUUCAUCACGGCUGCCUGUGCUUCCCAAGAAAGCUGUCGUACCUACAGUGUAAACUUAGAAAUGGUUAUCAGUGUUUCUCAAAGUUUUCCAUGGUCUUCAAACUCAUGCCCUUUAUCUACAGUCACUAUCUAAAAGGCUUGUCUCUCUUCCCCUGGGCGGUCAUUGCACUCCUUUGCUGUCCACACUGGACUGCAAGCUCUCUGAAGCCUUCUAAAUAUUGGGCCUUUCUGCACAUGAGCAUAACUAAAGCCAGUGUAGUUCCUAUUGUAUGAUAGAUGUUCAAUAAAUGCUUGUUAUAAAUG
rnacentral:lncRNA from 1 species